CAAAUUUGUUUUUUUUCAUCAGAGAAAUGCCCAGAGACAGACUUUACUUGUAGUAAUGGCCACUGCAUCCAGAUGAAGUGGGUGUGUGACAAGGACAACGAUUGUGGGGAUCUCUCGGAUGAACUUAGUUGCCCUCAGCGUAAUUGCUCCAAUGAUGAAUUUCUCUGUAACAACGGCAACUGUGUUCCCAAAGAAUGGCAGUGUGAUGGUGAAGAUGACUGCGAGGACAGCUCUGAUGAGCACUGCAGUAAGUGAGGUCAAGAUGCACUGUCGUUAAACAUCGAUGCUGAGCUAUCAUCCGAGCAGAUUGCAUAGCAUCAAUAAAUCAUAAAACCUAUAAA
rnacentral:sRNA from 1 species